AAGGUUAGUGUGCUGUCGUCUAGCAGACAUGAGGAGGGCUGACAUCAUGAGGAAGGUUAGUGUGCUGUCGUCUAGCAGACAUGAGGAGGGCCGACAUCAUGAGGAAGGUUAGUGGGCUGUCGUCUAGCAGACAUGAGGAGGGCUGACAUCAUGAGGAAGGUUAGUGUGCUGUCGUCUAGCAGACAUGAGGAGGGCUGACAUCAUGAGGAAGGUUAGUGUGCUGUCGUCUAGCAGACAUGAGGAGGGCCGACAUCAUGAGGAAGGUUAGUGGGCUGUCGUCUAGCAGACAUGAGGAGGGCUGACAUCAUGAGGAAGGUUAGUGUGCUGUCGUCUAGCAGACAUGAGGAGGGCUGACAUCAUGAGGAAGGUUAGUGGGCUGUCGUCUAGCAGACAUGAGGAGGGCUGACAUCAUGAGGAAGGUUAGUGGGCUGUCGUCUAGCAGACAGGAGGAGGGCUGACAUCAUGAGGAAGGUUAGUGGGCUGUCGUCUAGCAGACAUGAGGAGGGCUGACAUCAUGAGGAAGGUUAGUGGGCUGUCGUCUAGCAGACAUGAGGAGGGCUGACAUCAUGAGGAAGGUUAGUGGGCUGUCGUCUAGCAGACAUGAGGAGGGCUGACAUCAUGAGGAAGGUUAGUGUGCUGUCGUCUAGCAGACAUGAGGAGGGCUGACAUCAUGAGGAAGGUUAGUGGGCUGUCGUCUAGCAGACAUGAGGAGGGCUGACAUCAUGAGGAAGGUUAGUGGGCUGUCGUCUAGCAGACAGGAGGAGGGCUGACAUCAUGAGGAAGGUUAGUGUGCUGUCGUCUAGCAGACAUGAGGAGGGCUGACAUCAUGAGGAAGGUUAGUGGGCUGUCGUCUAGCAGACAUGAGGAGGGCUGACAUCAUGAGGAAGGUUAGUGGGCUGUCGUCUAGCAGACAGGAGGAGGGCUGACAUCAUGAGGAAGGUUAGUGUGCUGUCGUCUAGCAGACAUGAGGAGGGCUGACAUCAUGAGGAAGGUUAGUGGGCUGUCGUCUAGCAGACAUGAGGAGGGCUGACAUCAUGAGGAAGGUUAGUGGGCUGUCGUCUAGCAGACAUGAGGAGGGCUGACAUCAUGAGGAAGGUUAGUGGGCUGUCGUCUAGCAGACAUGAGGAGGGCUGACAUCAUGAGGAAGGUUAGUGGGCUGUCGUCUAGCAGACAUGAGGACGGCUAACAUCAUG